rnacentral:rRNA from 1 species
CUGGUUGAUCCUGCCAGACCCGACUGCUAUCAGAGUGAGAUUAAGCCAUGCGAGUCAACGUAGCAAUACGUGGCACACGGCUCAGUAACACGUAGUCAACAUAACCAAAGGACGUGGAUAAACUCGGGAAACUGAGGCUAAACCGCGAUAGACCAAAAUACCUGGAAUGGUUUUUGAUUAAAAUCUAUAUGGCCUUUGGAUUGGACUGCGACCGAUCAGGCUGUUGGUGAGGUAAUGGCCCACCAAACCUGUAACCGGUACGGGCUCUGAGAGGAGGAGCCCGGAGAUGGGUACUGAGACAAGGACCCAGGCCCUAUGGGGCGCAGCAGGCGCGAAACCUCUGCAAUAGGCGAAAGCCUGACAGGGUUAUUCUGAGUGACUUUCGCUAAGAAAGUCUUUUGACACCUUUAAAAAUGGUGUAGAAUAAGGGGUGGGCAAGUCUGGUGUCAGCCGCCGCGGUAAUACCAGCACCCCGAGUGGUCGGGACGAUUUUUGGGCCUAAAGCAUCCGUAGCCGGUUUUACAAGUUCUUCCGUUAAUCCACUGCUUAACAGAUGGGCCGCGGAGGAUACUUUAGACUAGGAGCAGGGAAGGGCAGGCGUACUUCAUUGGGUAGGGGUAAAUUCGUUGAAUCCUUGAAAACACCAAUGGCGAAGCGCUUGCAAAUUGCUCUCAACGGUGAGGUAUAGUCUGGGGACCAACCGGAUAUAUACCGGAUUCCAGUGUAACCAUCGAAUCGUGA